rnacentral:pre_miRNA from 1 species
UCUUCAUUUCGCGUGCUCUCUCACCGGUCGGAAAGGCGAGAGAGUGUGCGAGAUGAAGAGA